rnacentral:rRNA from 1 species
UACGAAGGGGGCUAGCGUUGCUCGGAAUCACUGGGUGUAAAGCGCACGUAGGCGGCUUCUUAAGUCAGGGGUGAAAUCCUGGAGCUCAACUCCAGAACUGCCUUUGAUACUGAGGAGCUUGAGUCCGGGAGAGGUGAGUGGAACUGCGAGUGUAGAGGUGAAAUUCGUAGAUAUUCGCAAGAACACCAGUGGCGAAGGCGGCUCACUGGCCCGGUACUGACGCUGAGGUGCGAAAGCGUGGGGAGCAAACAGG